rnacentral:rRNA from 1 species
CACGUAGGCACCAAGCGUUGUCCGGAUUUAUUGGGCGUAAAGAGCUCGUAGGCGGUCUGUCGCGUCUGCUGUGAAAACUCAGGGCUUAACCCUGAGCUUGCGGUCGAUACGGGCAUGACUGGAGUUCGGCAGGGGAGACUGGAAUUCCUGGUGUAGCGGUGAAAUGCGCAGAUAUCAGGAGGAACACCGGUGGCGAAGGCGGGUCUCUGGGCAACUACUGACGCUGGAGGAGCGGAAAAGCGUUGGGGAGCGAACA